GUGGGGAAUAUUCCGCAAUGGACGAAAGUCUGAUGGAGCAACGCCGCGUGAGUGAUGAAGGUUUUCGGACUGUAAAGCUCUGUUGUUUAGGACGAAAGUGCCUGUUGCAAAUAGUUACAGGUAUUGACGGUACUGAACGAGGAAGCCACGGCUAACUACGUGCCAGCAGCCGCGGUAAUACGUAGGUGGCAAGCGUUGUCCGGAAUUAUUGGGCGUAAAGAGCAUGUAGGCGGGAAUCUAAGUCUGUUGUGAAAAUGCGGGGCUCAACCCCGUAUUGCGAUGGAAACUGGGUUUCUUGAGUGCAGGAGAGGAAAGGGGAAUUCCCAGUGUAGCGGUGAAAUGCGUAGAUAUUGGGAGGAACACCAGUGGCGAAGGCGCCUUUCUGGACUGUGUCUGACGCUGAGAUGCGAAAGCCAGGGUAGCGAACGGGAUUAGAUACCCGUGUAGUCC
rnacentral:rRNA from 1 species